rnacentral:rRNA from 1 species
GAACGCUAGCGGCAGGCUUAACACAUGCAAGUCGAGGGGUAUCACGCUUUCGGGCGUGAGAGACCGGCGCACGGGUGCGUAACGCGUAUACAAUCUACCUUUUACAGAGGGAUAGCCCAGAGAAAUUUGGAUUAAUACCUCAUAGUAUGUGAGAAUCGCAUGGUUUUCACAUUAAAGUUCCAACGGUAAAAGAUGAGCAUGCGUCCCAUUAGCUAGAUGGUAAGGUAACGGCUUACCAUGGCGACGAUGGGUAGGGGUCCUGAGAGGGAGAUCCCCCACACUGGUACUGAGACACGGACCAGACUCCUACGGGAGGCAGCAGUGAGGAAUAUUGGACAAUGGGCGCAAGCCUGAUCCAGCCAUGCCGCGUGCAGGAUGACGGUCCUAUGGAUUGUAAACUGCUUUUGUACAGGAAGAAACACUCCCUCGUGAGGGAGCUUGACGGUACUGUAAGAAUAAGGAUCGGCUAACUCCGUG